CCUGGUGAUCAUAGCGUUGUGGCACCACCCGUUCCCAUCCCGAACACGGAAGUGAAACGCAACCGCGCCGAUGGUAGUGUGAUUUUGUCAUGCGAGAGUAGGUCAUCGCCAGGG
rnacentral:rRNA from 1 species